GAAUGAUGAAAAAGAGACCAACCAAAAGAACAAAGGGCAAAAUCACGCACUUUCAUUUGUAUUUUGCCCUUUGGUAUUUUGUUUGGGUCUUUUUCUUUCAUUCACCCUUUCACCUGAUAACCGCUGUGAGACGAGGGAAGUGACAGCCAGGAAGGGUUCGGUUAC
rnacentral:ribozyme from 1 species